CAGUAGCCGCGGUAAUACGUAGGUGGCAAGCGUUGUCCGGAAUUAUUGGGCGUAAAGGGCUCGCAGGCGGUUUCUUAAGUCUGAUGUGAAAGCCCCCGGCUCAACCGGGGAGGGUCAUUGGAAACUGGGAAACUUGAGUGCAGAAGAGGAGAGUGAAAUUCCACGUGUAGCGGUGAAAUGCGUAGAGAUGUGGAGGAACACCAGUGGCGAAGGCGACUCUCUGGUCUGUAUCUGACGCUGAGGAGCGAAAGCGGGGGAGCGAACAGGAUUAGAUACCCCUGUAGUCCCUGUCUCUUAUACA
rnacentral:rRNA from 1 species